AAUGGCAUCAUUCUUUUAAUUAGAGAGCAAAAUAUAAAUGCUAGAAAGAAAGCAGCAUUCACUAGGAGAUUAAAUGUAAUUGCGGUAACUCACAAAGGAAAUGCUUGUUUAAAGCUUUAAUUUGCUAGCAAAAUAUGCUGCAGAAAAUAAUGCUUUUGAGGGAGGUAUGAAUUCAUCAAGCCAAGAAAAAUCUGAGUGUAAGACAGGAAUCAUAGAAUUAUUAAGGUUGGAAAAUACCUCUAAGAUCAUCGACUCCCAGCUGUAAACCCACCACUGCCAAGCCCACCACCGAGCCAUUCAUCAGAGUGCCACAUCUACACAUAACCACAUCAGUUGACCCACUUGGUCAUCUCUUCAGCAUGUGGUGGUUCAGUCACACUUCAUCUCCUCGAGUGAGGGCAGGGAUAGCCACCAGAACCACUCACCCAGCAAGUUGCAAAGAUUCUCAUUUGAGAUGCAAAAGGGGUGUUUUUACUUCCAAAGCUGAAGGACUUCCCUGCCCAGGAGCCAGUUCUUUGGCCAGCUGCCUGACUGAAAGAGGAGGAAUCUAUUUCAAUUAGUUUCAUUAAAAUUCUUUGUAUUACAGCAGCUUGGGAACAAGACAUUAGUGCUACUUCAAAAAUUCAGACAAGGGUACAGCAUAAAAUUAUAAGACUGUCAACAGACAAGAGGGUAGAAGAGCGCUGUAGGACUAAACUGCUGCUUGCUGGUCACAAAGAAUCAUUUCACACUAACAGUGGGAAUGAAAGUGUGUGAAAAUCCCCAUUGGGAUAAGGAAAGAGAGAAUCUGAGAAAGAAGAUUAGAUUGUGGUGGAGUAGGAAGCUAGUGUUUCCCUCCUUUGAAUUGUUUCAGCCACUUAUUAUUUGUUUCAAUACUUCUCUGUGAGCCACUAAUUGUCGCAGUGGGAUCUUUCUGCUUCAUUUCCUUCUCUUUGUGAGAGCAGGCGUCAACACUGCAAAGAGUUAGAAAUCUGCAGCCUAGUAUACAGAAGACAGUGUCCAAUUUGCAACAUGUCCAGCAUAGGUCAGUGGCAUGGUUAAGCCUUGGAAAGUGCCUUUUAUACAAGCAUUAAAUAUCUUUGGGAAAAAAUAUCACUAUUGCAAAACCCAGAAACAGAAAAAAAAGAAAUACAGUAGAUUUACAUGUUUUCUCGUCUGUUACUCUUGAAGCAGGAAGACUUAGUAGAAAGAGUACAUUUCACCAAAUUAAUAGUAGCUAACUCAGUUGCAGCCAAUGUAUCUUGAGCAGCAGUAAUAUUUUGUAGUUUAAACUCGAACUGUGUUCAGAAAAACCUGGUUUGUGUCCUCAUGUCCUCCAUUACUUUCUCCAGUGCUAGAUCAAGAGUUCCUGUCAGAUCCUUGCCUGAGAACAGUAGAGAUGCAUAAAAGUUCUUGAAUUAAUAAGUCAUAUUGCAGAAAUGGGAGAACAUGCCUGUUUUAAACUUGUACUUUGCACAUGAGGACAAGUUCCAGGAAUGGCAAUUCCCUGGGACCUGCAGCUGCUCUGGUCCCUGGUACCACUGCCUCCUUCUUAUGGAAAACCUCUCAACAGCACAGCAGGACAGGUUGACUUUCUAGCCAAACAAAAGAAGGACUUGCCCCUCCCUCCUCAAAACCGAGUAUUUCUCUUUGGUCACACUGAAGGACUCCUCCCUGUUCCAGAUAAGCACCAGCCAGGUCAUGUACAACUACACAGACCACAUCCUCUGCUCAGCAGUUGUCUUUAUGUGGACAUACUCUACUUUCUUCUAUUACCUUUUGCUAAUCACCAUCUUUAGUCCUUUAGAGCUAGUAUUAUGAAACAUGUGUCAAAUAACCUGCCUACACAUGUUUUCUGCAUAAGCCUUCCUUUCAAAACACAUUCACAGCAGAAAAUAUGCGUGAAAGAGAAGCAGAUUACACAGAUUUAGGUGAAGCAAAAAUAGACAUUUAGGAAAACCGGAGGGUCACUCAACUGAGUGACCUUUUUAGCUUGUGUUUCUUAUCUUUACUAUCUAAUAGCAAGACUGGAGACCUACAGCACACAUAUCAUGUGCUGUUUUACAUUUAUUUUCCUUUGGUGUUUCUCAAGUGUAUAAUUUAAACCUUCUUUCUUUUACUAUAUCUGUAACGACAACACAUUCUAAUAUUUACAAAUGGAGAGUGACUUGGCACAAUACUGGCUGAAGUCUGUCUGCCAUCAGAGAUGCAUUCUUCAAAUGGACCUGCCCACUGCAAGAGCUGGGAGAUCUGAACUGUUUGUUUAAAACCUAAUUUCCUCUCAAAAUAGCCAGGCACGGCUGUAGGUCUAUUGAAAACUGUUAAACAAUUGGAUAUGUAGACCAAAACAUUGGUUAAAACCCUUUUAGGGAACAGCUAGAUAUACCAGGACAAGUAGAAGGAAAAGGUGCCCAAGGUGUUCAGAAACAAGCAGCCAGAAAGCAAGGCACUGUGCUAGGCAGCAAGUCUUAAUCCUGCCAUGGAAAAAAGGUAACUAACUCUUGGAACUUAAAAAUAAUCAUGGAUAUCAGCAUUUUUCAUGGGUUAGAAACACAGAUUCUCAAUCACCAACAAACUUUGCCUAAGAUAUCUUGAUUUCCUUUAGAUGCAAAGGGAUAAUUAUAAAGACCUAUGAUUAAGACUGAGAACAUCCUACCUGACUGAGCAUUCUAGCUGAAGAGUACCUGUGAUUCAAAGAAUGGGAUAUGCUGAAGAAUAGCUACAAACACACCAUUCCCAAGAGAUGCUCCUACAUCAGGGAUUUAUCGACAGGAAAGCAUUAGUACCAGUUCUUGCAGUGCAAAUAUAUAUAUUGCUGCCUGCAAUACAUAAUGCAAACACAGUGCUGCCUGCUGCCAUGGGCAGAUGUGGCCAGAAGCUUCCAGUAAGAAGCUCUAAGGCAGGACAACCACCUCCAUUCAGCACCACAAAGACAGGGGGAAGAAGCCACAUGCCAGCCCUCCUUGCUCUGCACCUCCUCUCUCAUCACCAAUGUGUGCAUUCGUCCCCAUGCUGGAGCUCUGCAAACGAGCCUUCUAAGCAGUGUGAGAAUAACAGGAUGAUACUGAGGAAAUUGUUCUUGAGCAUGAGCUUUGACCCUUCUGGGCAGUGAAUAUGAACCACAUGGGCUGGACGAGCCCCGGGCACAUUACAUGCCUUUGUGAAGUUAUUUGCUGAUUCAGAGGUGUGAAACUCUAAAAAACACUGUGGAAGAAAUGGCACUGCUUGUGGUACUGAAAUAGCAUGGAUUCCUCCUGGGCUGUUACAACUUCAUAAAUAUUGACUUUGGAUAAACCUUCUAACAAUAUUCUGGUUGAGUUUUUUUUCUUCUUCUUCUUUUUCCUCCCAAGUGGGUUCCCAAAGCUAAUUUACUUAAGGCAAUGUACAUGACACAAGAAUAAGCCCUUUGACUAGUGAUGCAAUUGCUUGGUCAUGAAAUGAAAAAAAUCUGGAUUUUGAUUGAUAGUUUGAAUUCAUGCUGUUUGUUUGAUUUACUCCAGAUUCUUUGUCACCUCAGUGUUAUUCCUGCCAACACAUGUCAGAACACAACUGAUUAUGAGCUGAAAUACUCUUUUAAAGGGCUUUUUAAAAAUUUUAGACUUAUCAAUUUUCCUUCCCCUUCCACAGGAGCAAUGCAAAUUUAGCCAUUAAUUUUUUUUUUCUUAAAGAAAAUCUCAGCUACAACUAACCUCAUGUAAUGCCUUUUUCUUUUCUCAUCUGCAGUAGUAUGAAAAUGAAAACAGCAUAAUUUAGUUCUAUAAAAAAUUCCUCUGCAGCACAUUAGAAGUACAUCUAAUAUACUUUAGGCAAGUACUAUUAUUUUUCACUCUGUGGCAUGAUUGUAAUUGCUCUAGUCCACUGCUCUACCAGUUGGCAGUCAGAACUGUCACCAGCACACAUUUCUCUCAGUGUUAAGCACAGGAAAGGCCUGAUCCAGUACAAAAGUAUCAGGAUGCCACCUGUCAGUGAAGGUAAGUACAUGGAGGAGGUGAUUGUUUCCUUGCUUUGGAGGCAAAAUAAGACAUUUCUUCCGCUAGAAAAGCUCUUCAGUGUUAAACAUUCCUAUGGUUAGCCUGAAUCAGGCCCAAGUUUAUGUCUUUUAUUCUCAACAGAACAGGUUGGGAGAAGAACCAAGAAAAUAAUGAGAGUAGACUGUAACUACAUCUGAGAAGACAGGAGCUUAAAUACAAUUUAAUGCACUUCACUAUACUUGCCCUUGGCAGUGGCAGGUAGAGCUGGGUAGACUCCAGCAAUAUUUCCAGGAAUGCAAAUCAAGUAUUAAUAUCUAAGUUUUACUCCUCGUUUCUUGCCCCUUUAUUCCAGUAUGCACACUGCCCCUAUGUCAGACAUACACACACAGACUGAACUCGCACAUCUAGCUUGGAAUAGAGGUUGUUUCCAGAAAGUUUUUCUCUUUAACAUUACCUUCUUUCUUGAUUUACUGAUUCUUGGCUGAACUUAAAAUUACCUGAAAACCAUUGCCCCUGAGAAAAUCUUUACUCAAGUACUUGCUGAAAGUGUAACCUGAAGAACAACAUCCAGAGAUCCAGGCUCUGUGCUGUGGCUCUGAUCAGACACUUGAAAGCAAGUCAUUGGCAGGAACACUCCUAUCAGCUUCUUCUCAUGCUGUCUGCUGGCAAGUUGAUGUUAAUAGUUUAACAUUUGUAUCAGCAACACAAUCAGGAUAUUAAUUUGAAGCAGAAGAGAGUUGUUU
ensembl:lncRNA